GAUGAACGCUAGCUACAGGCUUAACACAUGCAAGUCGAGGGGCAUCAGGAAGAAAGCUUGCUUUCUUUGCUGGCGACCGGCGCACGGGUGAGUAACACGUAUCCAACCUGCCCUUUACUCGGGGAUAGCCUUUCGAAAGAAAGAUUAAUACCCGAUAGCAUAAUGAUUCCGCAUGGUUUCAUUAUUAAAGGAUUCCGGUAAAGGAUGGGGAUGCGUUCCAUUAGGUUGUUGGUGAGGUAACGGCCCACCAAGCCUUCGAUGGAUAGGGGUUCUGAGAGGAAGGUCCCCCACAUUGGAACUGAGACACGGUCCAAACUCCUACGGGAGGCAGCAGUGAGGAAUAUUGGUCAAUGGGCGCUAGCCUGAACCAGCCAAGUAGCGUGAAGGAUGAAGGCUCUAUGGGUCGUAAACUUCUUUUAUAUAAGAAUAAAGUGCAGUAUGUAUACUGUUUUGUAUGUAUUAUAUGAAUAAGGAUCGGCUAACUCCGUGCCAGCAGCCGCGGUAAUACGGAGGAUCCGAGCGUUAUCCGGAUUUAUUGGGUUUAAAGGGAGCGUAGGUGGACUGGUAAGUCAGUUGUGAAAGUUUGCGGCUCAACCGUAAAAUUGCAGUUGAUACUGUCAGUCUUGAGUACAGUAGAGGUGGGCGGAAUUCGUGGUGUAGCGGUGAAAUGCUUAGAUAUCACGAAGAACUCCGAUUGCGAAGGCAGCUCACUGGACUGCAACUGACACUGAUGCUCGAAAGUGUGGGUAUCAAACAGGAUUAGAUACCCUGGUAGUCCACACAGUAAACGAUGAAUACUCGCUGUUUGCGAUAUACAGUAAGCGGCCAAGCGAAAGCAUUAAGUAUUCCACCUGGGGAGUACGCCGGCAACGGUGAAACUCAAAGGAGUUGACGGGGGCCCGCACAAGCGGAGGAACAUGUGGUUUAAUUCGAUGAUACGCGAGGAACCUUACCCGGGCUUAAAUUGCAGUGGAAUGAUGUGGAAACAUGUCAGUGAGCAAUCACCGCUGUGAAGGUGCUGCAUGGUUGUCGUCAGCUCGUGCCGUGAGGUGUCGGCUUAAGUGCCAUAACGAGCGCAACCCUUAUCUUCAGUUACUAACAGGUCAUGCUGAGGACUCUGGAGAGACUGCCGUCGUAAGAUGUGAGGAAGGUGGGGAUGACGUCAAAUCAGCACGGCCCUUACGUCCGGGGCUACACACGUGUUACAAUGGGGGGUACAGAAGGCAGCUAGCGGGUGACCGUAUGCUAAUCCCAAAAUCCUCUCUCAGUUCGGAUCGAAGUCUGCAACCCGACUUCGUGAAGCUGGAUUCGCUAGUAAUCGCGCAUCAGCCACGGCGCGGUGAAUACGUUCCCGGGCCU
rnacentral:rRNA from 1 species